UACGGAGGGUGCAAGCGUUAUCCGGAUUUACUGGGUUUAAAGGGUGCGCAGGCGGAUAUGUAAGUCAGUGGUGAAAUCUCCGGGCUUAACCCGGAACUGCCGUUGAUACUAUAUAUCUUGAAUGCUGUGGAGGUAAGCAGAAUAUGUCAUGUAGCGGUGAAAUGCUUAGAUAUGACAUAGAAUACCUAUUGCGAAGGCAGCUUACUACACAGAUAUUGACGCUCAUGCACGAAAGCGUGGGGAUCAAACAGG
rnacentral:rRNA from 1 species